rnacentral:rRNA from 1 species
GACGAACGCUGGCGGCGUGCUUAACACAUGCAAGUCGAACGGAAAGGCCCUGCUUUUGUGGGGUGCUCGAGUGGCGAACGGGUGAGUAACACGUGAGUAACCUGCCCUUUACUUUGGGAUAACUUCAGGAAACUGGGGCUAAUACCGGAUAGGAGCUCCUGCUGCAUGGUGGGGGUUGGAAAGUUUCGGCGGUUGGGGAUGGACUCGCGGCUUAUCAGCUUGUUGGUGGGGUAGUGGCUUACCAAGGCUUUGACGGGUAGCCGGCCUGAGAGGGUGACCGGCCACAUUGGGACUGAGGUAGGGCCCAGACUCCUACGGGGGGCAGCAGUGGGGAAUAUUGCACAAUGGGCGGAAGCCCGAUGCAGCAACGCCGCGUGCGGGAUGACGGCCUUCGGGUUGUAAACCGCUUUCGCCUGUGACGAAGCGUGAGUGACGGUAAUGGGUAAAGAAGCACCGGCUAACUACGUG